rnacentral:rRNA from 1 species
UACGUAGGGAGCAAGCGUUGUUCGGAUUUACUGGGCGUAAAGGGCGCGUAGGCGGCGUGUUAAGUCAGCUGUGAAAUCUCCAAGCUCAACUUGGAACGGCCAGCUGAUACUGAUGUGCUAGAGUGCAGAAGGGGCAAUCGGAAUUCUUGGUGUAGCGGUGAAAUGCGUAGAUAUCUGGAGGAACACCGGUGGCGAAGGCGGCAUCCUGGACCAACACUGACGCUGAGGAGCGAAAGCCAGGGGAGCAAACGGG